rnacentral:lncRNA from 1 species
GUCUGACAAGAUUGACUUUGGUCCUACGUAUCCCUAUUAAGGGAAUCAAGGCUUACGUAGUUCUUUAAGUAGAAAAAGGUUUGUUGGUUGGAUUGAUUUUAGAAAAUAUAAGUGUUAGAUCUCGACUAACAAUCCUGCUAAUACAAGUGAAGUACAGCCCAUACGUCCGAUACCGCAUUUUGUAUUAAGGGUUAGUUAAGAUCUUAACAUGUUUCUGAAUAAAAGAUUUUUGAGUCGUUGGUGAUUUAGUCAUGAUGAUCAUUAAAUUGAUGAAGUGCAGCCCAUAUGUCCGUCACCGCAUCAUAUCUUAAAAUUAGAGUGAUUGUCGUCUUAGAAUUAAUAAUGAAAUUAUCAUAAAAAAUGUAGUAAUUAUUUUAAGGACAUUGAUAAAAAUUUCAAAAUGGUAUAACAUGCUAAUAGAAAUGUGAUUUUUUC